AGUUCCUUAGUGUAGUGGUUUAUCACAUCUCCUUUACACGGAGAAGGUCAUGGGUUCGAUCCCCAUAGGAACUA
rnacentral:tRNA from 3 species